rnacentral:rRNA from 1 species
UACGUAGGGUGCAAGCGUUGUCCGGAAUUAUUGGGCGUAAAGAGCUCGUAGGCGGUUUGUCGCGUCGAAUGUGAAAACCCGGGGCUCAACCCCGGGCCUGCAUUCGAUACGGGCAGACUAGAGUUCGGUAGGGGGAGUCUGGAAUUCCUGGUGUAGCGGUGAAAUGCGCAGAUAUCAGGAGGAACACCGGUGGCGAAGGCGGGACUCUGGGCCGAUACUGACGCUGAGGUGCGAAAAGCGUGGGGGGAGAAAACAGG